rnacentral:tRNA from 1 species
GGAGAAAUUAAAAAGCGCUUGAUUGGCAGUCAAGAGGUCAUGGGUUCGAAUCCCAUCUUCUCCA